GACGAACGCUGGCGGCGUGCCUAAUACAUGCAAGUAGAACGCUGAAGGAGGAGCUUGCUUCUCUGGAUGAGUUGCGAACGGGUGAGUAACGCGUAGGUAACCUGCCUUGUAGCGGGGGAUAACUAUUGGAAACGAUAGCUAAUACCGCAUAAGAGUAGAUCUUGCAUGACAUUUGCUUAAAAGGUGCAAUUGCAUCACUACCAGAUGGACCUGCGUUGUAUUAGCUAGUUGGUGGGGUAACGGCUCACCAAGGCGACGAUACAUAGCCGACCUGAGAGGGUGAUCGGCCACACUGGGACUGAGACACGGCCCAGACUCCUACGGGAGGCAGCAGUAGGGAAUCUUCGGCAAUGGACGGAAGUCUGACCGAGCAACGCCGCGUGAGGGAAGAAGGUUUUCGGAUCGUAAAGCUCUGUUGUAAGAGAAGAACGAGUGUGAGAGUGGAAAGUUCACACUGUGACGGUAUCUUACCAGAAAGGGACGGCUAACUACGUG
rnacentral:rRNA from 1 species